rnacentral:rRNA from 1 species
CCUACGGGAGGCUGCAGUGGGGAAUAUUGGACAAUGGGCGAAAGCCUGAUCCAGCCAUGCCGCGUGUGUGAAGAAGGCCUUCGGGUUGUAAAGCACUUUCAGUGGGGAAGAAAGCCUUGGGGCUAAUACCCUCGAGGAAGGACAUCACCCACAGAAGAAGCACCGGCUAACUCCGUGCCAGCAGCCGCGGUAAUACGGAGGGUGCGAGCGUUAAUCGGAAUUACUGGGCGUAAAGCGCGCGUAGGCGGUCUGAUAAGCCGGUUGUGAAAGCCCCGGGCUCAACCUGGGAACGGCAUCCGGAACUGUCAGGCUAGAGUGCAGGAGAGGAAGGUAGAAUUCCCGGUGUAGCGGUGAAAUGCGUAGAGAUCGGGAGGAAUACCGGUGGCGAAGGCGGCCUUCUGGACUGACACUGACGCUGAGGUGCGAAAGCGUGGGUAGCAAACAGGAUUAGAUACCCCAGUAGUC